UACGUAGGGUGCAAGCGUUGUCCGGAAUUAUUGGGCGUAAAGAGCUCGUAGGCGGUUUGUCGCGUCUGCUGUGAAAACCCGAGGCUCAACCUCGGGCCUGCAGUGGGUACGGGCAGACUAGAGUGCGGUAGGGGAGAUUGGAAUUCCUGGUGUAGCGGUGGAAUGCGCAGAUAUCAGGAGGAACACCAAUGGCGAAGGCACUCUGCUGGGCCGACACUGACACUGAGAGACGAAAGCUAGGGGAGCGAAUGGG
rnacentral:rRNA from 1 species